AACUGAUACUACCUGCGGGAACCUGCGGAGGGAUCAUUACUGAAGUGAUUUGGGGAUGUUGCUGCCCUCUCUCAAGGGGGGGCACUGUGCACUCCUCGAAACAAUUCACAAUUUCCAUCACACCCCUUGUGCACACCUUGUAGGCACCCAAACCCACCUCCGGGUGGUGGGGUCCUAUGUAUUCCUUCAUCUCACACUCUGUUGAAUGGUGCCAUGGGACGCAUCUAAAGGAUUAUUUGU
rnacentral:misc_RNA from 1 species